rnacentral:rRNA from 1 species
GAUGAACGCUGGCGGCGUGCCUAAUACAUGCAAGUCGAGCGAACGGACGCGACGCUUGCUUCUCUGAUGUUAGCGGAGGACGGGUGAGUAACACGUGUAUAACCUACCUAUAAGACUGGGAUAACUUCGGGAAACCGGCGCUAAUACCGGAUAAUAUUUUGCACCGCAUGGUUCAAAAGUGAAUGACGGUCGUGCUGUCACUUCUAGAUGGUUCCGGGCUGCAUUGGCUAGUUGGUAAGGUAACGGCUUACCAAGGCAACGAUGCAUAGACGACCUGAUAGGCGGAUCGGCCGCACUAGAGGUUAACCAGGGUCCUGGGUCCUAAGGGAGGGAGCAGUAUGGAAUGUGCGGCAAUGGGGGAAAGCAUGACGGAGCAGCGCGACGUGAGAUGUAGAGGCGUCCGGUGCGGGAAACUCGGUUUCGGGGGAAGAACAGAUUUGGAAGGAACCGUACAGAGCGUGACGGUAACUAAUCAAAAAGCCACGGCUAACUACGUG